AUGGAUAAGCGCAGUCAGAUUCCCGAAGACCCUGUGUGCAGUGGCUGUGAGUCUGUCUUCCUGGAGGAAAGAGGCCCCCAUGAGGGCCAUUUGAAAGACCCUCCCUGUGCUUGGGGAAGGAAUCAAGUGAACUGUUGGACAUUAGACGUAGUCAUUCCAGUCACCACUCGUUGGCUACUCUGGAAUGGUGACAUGCUAUACGAGGGCUGCCUCGCUCUGACUCUGCUGAGGUGUGGAAGCAGCUGUCUCCAAAUCCUUCUGGCCCAGGAAGCAUCUGAAACCCUUCUCCAAUUUCUGCCCCAGGAGAAGCCAGUGAUGAUGGCUUCAGGAUUUGGAUCAAUAAAGCCCUUCACCUGAAUCUUAGGAACUCCCCUGAUGUUCAGCAAUAGGACCCAGGAUGAGAGAAGACAGAUUAGAAUCUAGAUUGGGCCCCAAGACUCAUGGUCUGGUUCUAGAAGAUGUAAGAAAAGCAGGCGUACAAAUAUAUGAAUGCUACAACUUGUGUGUUAUAUGGAUAUGUGUGUGGGAGGGAAGAGGUGUUUAUGUGUGGGUAUGCAUAUAUGUACAUGGGCAUACAUGUGCAAUUUCCUUGGUGAUGGAAUCCUAAUGAAGCUGUCCCCAGCCCCAGUAUUCUAACUUCCUUAUGGGCCUCACUGAAUAGCAGGCAUGCCCUGAGUUAACCACACAAUCUGGCCUUAACCACACCACGGGCCCCCAGAGUCAAUCAUAGGCCUCACUGAACAGCAGGCCCACUGCCCCUAGCUAGCCACUACCCCUGCCCCAACUCAGUAUCCUGCCUUCCUCAUCUAUGCCUCACUGACCCACUAGAAUAGCAGGUGGGUCCAUGUGAUGGGAUCCCAGCCACUGCCUCUAGCUAGCCACUGCCCCCAGACCCAUUCCUCAUGUUUCCCACAGAAACAACAGGUGUGUCCAUGCACUCAACCACAGCCACAUCCAUCUAAUCUCACAUAGGACCACAAUGACCAGCCAGUCAGAAAGCAGCACCAGCAGGAUGCCCGGGCAGGAUGUAGAUCCCCAAACAAUAGAAGGGACUUUUCGUAAGUAAGCACAUGAGCAGUAAUAGUAAAGAACUGACCUAGAGUAAACUUAUGACAUGGAGCUGCUUAUUCGAAUAUCAUUAUCAUACAUAUAUUCCCCCCCACAAUGAGUUUUUCUGUGUGCAUUGUGGGUAAUCACACGCACAGUUCCACCAAGGCUGGGACCCCUCCCUAUUACCUAAUCCCUUAACAAACCUCUCCUGCCUUUUUAAUAUUCAUAAUUUCUGUUGUAUAAUCAGCAUCAUCACGCUAUAAUAUUGCCUGUCUUGUCUUACUAAGCUUCUAGUUCCUCUUGAAACUCAGCCUACUAGAGAGUGUCACCCUCAAUAAAUGCCUUUACUUUUAUUGAAGGUGGUCUGAG
rnacentral:lncRNA from 1 species